AACGAACGCUGGCGGCGUGCCUAACACAUGCAAGUCGAACGAGAAGUACGUAGCAAUACGUAUUGUAAAGUGGCGCACGGGUGAGUAACACGUGGGUAAUCUGCCCUCGAGUUUGGGAUAACCCCGCGAAAGCGGGGCUAAUACCGAAUAAGACCACGGGGACCAAAGUCUCCGGGGUAAAAGGUGGCCUCUAUUUAUAAGCUACCACUUGAGGAUGAGCCCGCGGCCCAUUAGCUAGUUGGCAGGGUAACGGCCUACCAAGGCGAUGAUGGGUAGCUGGUCUGAGAGGACGAUCAGCCACACUGGAACUGAGACACGGUCCAGACUCCUACGGGAGGCAGCAGUGGGGAAUAUUGCGCAAUGGGCGAAAGCCUGACGCAGCAACGCCGCGUGGGGGAUGAAGGUUUUCGGAUUGUAAACCCCUUUCGACCGGAACGAAUCUCCUCCUGGUAAAUAAUCAGGAGGAUCGACGGUACCGGGAGAAGAAGCCACGGCUAACUCCGUGCCAGCCGCCGCGGUAACAC
rnacentral:rRNA from 1 species